CGAAAGAAAAGCUUCAGUUUGUCCAUGAAAGUAGGGGUGACUGACUGUCCCAGUUUGCCCAAAACUAGAGGGGUUCCCAAGAGAGGGGAAUAGCAGUAAUUGCACUGGGAAAGCAGCAGGCAAACUGGGAUGAUCUGGUCACUGUAGGCACACACACAAGACAGAAUCUGAAUCAAUCCAUAAGCGUUAAUUUAGUAGAUACACUAGGCUAGAUGUAUCUCAAGGACCGACUUCCCCCUCAACCCUAAACCUGGCCAGAACAGGUAGGGGGCGGGGUUAAACAGUGCGCACACGCAUGCGCAUGUGCACACAGCCAUCACCUGAGUAGCUCUGUGCCUUUGGUGUAUUCGGAGUUUGGGUAAGAGUCCCCUGAAUAAAAAGUCCAUUUAUUUUACGCUGAGAGUCAUACACUGGCUUAUUUUACCUUCUCAAGAAUAAUGAACUACUUCAAUAAGAAAACACAGCAACGAUAACAGCAAAAACUGGCAAAACCCUAUCAAACAAACCUAAACCAAAUGUUCACUAGAGAAAAAUUCUUUUUGGUUCCCUUGAUUUUUCACUCUUGUCUUUCUUGCUAACCAAAGAAAAUGCACAAAGGUUAGUAUAGAAAUUUGUUUAAGUACUCAUGGUAAUAAAAAUGAAUUCCAGAAAUUCAAUAAUGUAGCUUAGGUAUUUAACGUUUUUUUUAACUCUCCUUUUUGAAUAUUAGUUUCAUCCUAGGGGGAAAAAAAGGAAAGAAACCACCUAAGAACAAUGAAUAGCAGGGCUCCUGAUAGCAAAGGAGGGUACCGAUGGCAAAGGUGUUUUGUUUUCUUUAAUCAUGGAUAUUUCCAACUGGCAGAAAAGAGCUUUUUUUCCUCACAUAUAAAGUUAAUGAUACUGCCGAAAGAAGUUACUUUCCUGCCUCAAACUUCAAACUUUCUUGCCUCAAACAGAUUCAGGAAAGCAGUAUUUUUCAAGACGCUGCAAUAUUUAUACCAGGGGAGUUAAAGGGCAUUCAUGUGCUGUCAUUAUUUGAGGAAGAAAAGCAAAGAAUUCACGGGAAAGUUCAAUACACCAAUCUCAUCUCUCCUGUCUUUUUUUUAACCUGUCCUAAAGAAAAGCUAUGCUUUCUCUUCUACAGUAAAUUAGACUUUCAUUUUUGGCAGAAAUUUGGCCAGCAACAAUAAAGGAUCUAAAAUUAAAUAGAUAUAGGGAAGUGAACACUAAAGUGUCAAUAAAAUUUGAAGUAAAAUUUUAUUCACAAGAUAAAGAUACAUAAAUGUUACUAUACCUUCCAGCAAACAUAGUUUCUGCCUGCGCUGCAAUUUCAUCUAUAUCAGGAACAAUAGCUGCAAAGAUAAAUGGUAAAAUCCAUUCUUUAUUUUUUAUAAUUAGGAGUCCCAAUAUUUAUAUUAAUAUUAGCAUACCUAAAAAUAUUUUGCCUUAAUUUCCUUAUGCCACUGAAAGUCAACACUUUAAAAAGUCACAAUACAGCUCCUCUUAGCUGCUAAUAUUUUAAAUUGAAGUUAACAUUUUAAAAUAUAUAUUGUUAUAGCCAAAGAUACAUUUAGAAAAUCAAAAAGCACCAUUUACAAAGUUACCUCAUCUCUAAUGACAAUGCCAGAUCCUUAACCCACUGUGCCACAAGGGAACUCCUACAUACAUAUAAUUUGAAUGAGUAAUGACAUGGAAGGGUAAUAUUUUUUAAAGAUCACAAUAUACCAGAAUGAACUAGGUAUGUUGUUACUAUAUUGCACUUCCAAACAACAUGAUCUUUUUAAUAAGCUUACUUCUAUAAUUCCAUCCCUUCUUGUGGGACAGGAUGCUUGAUUUUUUUUUUCAAUGUAAACUAAUAAUCAUGAUUCUUCACUCAUCCCCACCACUAACAUUUUAAAGAUAUCUAUGAUAAGUACACAAUUUAUUUCUCAUCUCCAAAGCAUAAAAAGAAAACAGAGCAAGAUAUAAAAAGGGAAAAAGAAUUCUUCCCAGAAAGCUACCUCUGACGCAUACAACCAAUUUAAAAGAUCAGGUAAAUCAGAGAGAACUAAUUUUCUGGGGCUGCCCCUAGACUUUCCCUCCCACACUUUUACUGACACUUAGAGCUCCUGUUUUCCAGAAGUCUGGCUUCUGAGAGCCAAUAAUUUUUAUGCAAGUGUCAAUGCAACCGCCAGCAAGACUCUCUCCUUCUGCUGUAUCAUUCCUGGAAAUAGCACUUUGGGGUUCUACACUUCUGGGAAGCAUAAAAACAACACUGUUGCAAAUGUGCCAGGGAAACUUCUAGCUCAGGAGAGCUUAACUCUGUCUGUAGAGGCAAGCUGCCUUUUGGAUGGUACCAGUGAGUCAGAUAGCAAGAUGUUUGGUCUAGCAUCCAUUUUAACUAUAUACCUAUAAUCACGGACUCAUUCUUAUCAAAUUGACAGAUGGAUAAAGAAGAGGAGGCUUUUUAACAUUGUCACAGUGGGUGUGGUUAAGAGACAGUUCUGUAUCUGUGUAUAAAUUCUACCACCAGAAGAGGGAUUCUGUUAACAGGCUAAAUCUUCCAUACAACAUAGUUUCCAACUUGCCAUAACCAACCUGAUCAAUCCAGGAAAAUGGUAAUUUAAUAUAUCUUAGGUUUCAGUAGGUACUUUCUAGAGUCAUAAAAAUUUAACAGUACUUCUUAUACUCUCAUGUCACUAUGCUCCUACACUCAAAGUGUCUUCACUCUUAACACAUUUUUUGGUCAUGUCCAGAAGUCCCCUGGCCAGAAAUGGAACCAGCACCACAGCAGUGACCCAGGCCACUGCAGUGACAACCUGGAUCCUUAAACCGCUGUGCCACAAGAGGACUUCAUUUCUCACAAAUUUUAAAUGUGAAAAAUUGAAAUACAGUACUAGUUUACAACCAUGCAAAGUAAUUUAAAAAAAAAAACAAAAAACAGAAACACAUACACAAUAAAACCAACGCUCACAUCCAGACUUUCAGGAAAUGCUAUACUAUUCUUGAGAUGCAUGAUGGCUUCUUACAAAAUAUUUUUCCUCCUGAAAGCUACAUUUCAUUCUGCUCUUUGAUCCAGGUCAAAAAAAAUUCCCUGGAGUUUCACCAAAAUAGCAUAAUGUUUAAAAAUUCAGACUCUGGAGUUGGAAAGACCAUCAAGAGAAUCCCUUUACCACCACUUUCAUGACCUUUAGCAAGUUGUAAUCCCUCUGACCUAGGUUUUCUUACCCAUAAAAUGGCACAAUAAACAAUCCCUUGACCUCAUAAAAUUGUGAAGAUUACUAGAGAAACCGGAUUCAAAGAACUGAACACCUGUAGCAGCAAACAUCCUCCUUGCUAUUAUAGGCAAGUUACAUAAUGUUCUAUCUCAGUUCCUU
rnacentral:lncRNA from 1 species